UCUAGGAUGAGCUUAUAUCUCCGAAAUUAUGGCUAAAAGAGGAUCACAAUGUUGAGAUGAUUUUAACAUGUGGAUAUGGAUUUCGUAACCUUGGUACAGAAUAUGAGCAUGUUAAGAUGAGUUUUGAUUCAUAAAAGCCCAUGUGAGAUAUUGAGCCCAUGUCCUUUUUCUUGGAGUGAUAAAUGAAAAAUAUAUUCUUAUUUUCUUAGCGAUGUUUUGAUGAUCUCAUUAUUCUUUCAUUUGAUUGAUUACUUGCCAUAGAUUAAGUUUGAUGGACUAGAGAAUGCUAGAAUUCACUCUUGUACAUGUUGAGACGUUUGUCAAUAUAUGACCCUGAUUCUGGAAAUGAUAGAGGCACCCUAGGAAUUACCACCAUUGCCAAAUAAUCAUGUGUCCCCUUUUGUGCCCGUCGUGGG
rnacentral:lncRNA from 1 species